rnacentral:tRNA from 1 species
GCCCUCGUAGCUCAGUGGAUAGAGCACGGCUCUCCUAAAGCCGGUGUCGUAGGUUCGAUUCCUAUCGGGGGCAC